AGAGCAUCGGUGAUGAGUCUCACAUAAUUGUUAUCCUUGCACUUUGAUUGUCAGUGAAGAAACUCAUGGGGAAUUUUUUCUCUGAGGUGCUC